CCUACGGGUGGCAGCAGUAGGGAAUAUUGCUCAAUGGGGGAAACCCUGAAGCAGCAACGCCGCGUGGAGGAUGAAGGUUUUAGGCUUGUAAACUCCUUUUGUUAGAGAAGAUUAUGACGGUAUCUGACGAAUAAGCACCGGCUAACUCCGUGCCAGCAGCCGCGGUAAUACGGAGGGUGCAAGCGUUACUCGGAAUCACUGGGCGUAAAGAGUGCGUAGGCGGGGUAAUAAGUCAGAUGUGAAAUCCUGUAGCUUAACUACAGAACUGCAGUUGAAACUGGUACUCUGGAGUGUGGGAGAGGUAGGUGGAAUUCGUGGUGUAGGGGUAAAAUGCGUAGAGAUUAAGAGGAAUACUCAUUGCGAAGGCGACCUGCUGGAACAUUACUGACGCUGAUGCACGAAAGCGUGGGGAGCAAACAGGAUUAGAUACCCCAGUAGUC
rnacentral:rRNA from 1 species